CCCUAGAUAGUGUAAAUGGUUAACACAUUUGGCUGCUAACCGAAAGGUUGGAGAUUCGAGCUCACCCAGGGGU
rnacentral:tRNA from 1 species